GUAGGGGGCAAGCGUUGUCCGGAUUUAUUGGGCGUAAAGCGCGUGUAGGCGGCCAGGUAGGUCCGCUGUGAAAACUCGAGGCUCAACCUCGAGAUGUCGGCGGAAACCAUCUGGCUAGAGUCCGGAAGAGGAGAGUGGAAUUCCCGGUGUAGCGGUGAAAUGCGCAGAUAUCGGGAAGAACACCCGUGGCGAAGGCGGCUCUCUGGGACGGUACUGACGCUGAGACGCGAAAGCGUGGGGAGCGAACAGGAUUAGAUACCCUGGUAGUCCACGCCGUAAACGAUGGGAACUAGGUGUGGGCGGUGUCGACUCCGUCCGUGCCGAAGCUAACGCAUUAAGUUCCCCGCCUGGGGAGUACGGCCGCAAGGCUAAA
rnacentral:rRNA from 1 species